AUUGAACGCUGGCGGCAGGCCUAACACAUGCAAGUCGAACGAGUGGCGGACGGGUGAGUAAUGUCUGGGAACCCGCCUGAAGGAGGGGGAUAACUACUGGAAAAGGUAGCUAAUACCGCAUACCAUCGGAUGUGCCCAGAUGGGUUUAGCUAGUAGGUGGGGUAAAGGCUCCCAUAGGCGACGAUCCCUAGCGGGUAUGAGAGGAUGACCGGCCACACUGGAACUGAGACACGGUCCGGACUCCUACGGCAGGCAGCAGUGGGGAAUAUUGCACAAUGGGCGCAAUCCGGAUGCAGCCAUGCCGCGUGUAUUAAGAAUGCCUUCGGGUUGUAAAGUACUUUCAGCGGGGAGGCGUUACCCGCAGAAGAAGCACCGGCUAACUCCGUGCCAGCAGCCGCGGUAAUUC
rnacentral:rRNA from 1 species